rnacentral:lncRNA from 1 species
UAGCUUUCAAAUUAUAUAAUUUUUGGUAGGUAAAUAAUUUAGAAAUAAUAGAUCAUAUCCAAUAUUUUGGACCAUCGAUGUGGGACCUCCAUCGUCUAAUCUUGAUCAAACUGGACCUAAACAGAGCUCUAGACUGCCAUCCCUCCAAUUGAUCACAAACACCCUAUUCCAUUGCCACACGCUUGGCCCUUCGGAGUCCGUGUCCCGUAAUUUUGAUAAACGCACUUGGCGUCGAUCUCCAUCUUCACUCUCGCAUAACCAAACUUCCAGAGAUUGUCCAUGAAACCAUCCAUAGCUAUGGGGUGGCCAAUAGUGACUGCUAUUUGCAAGAGGGUGUCCUUGUCCGAGUUCUCAAGCAGCAGCUUAAGUAGCCUCAACCAAAUGACUGUUGCCCUCACCCGGUCUGUCCCAGGGAUGAAGUCUAGGAUCCAUGGCUCCAUCUUGGAG